UGUCAGUUAGAAACACUUGAAGGGGCAAA
rnacentral:piRNA from 1 species